GCUCCAGUGGCGCAAUCGGGCAGCGCGCGGUACUUAUAAUGCCGAGGUUGUGAGUUCGACCCUCACCUGGAGCA